UACAUGCAAGUCGAGCGGACAGAUGGGAGCUUGCUCCCUGAUGUUAGCGGCGGACGGGUGAGUAACACGUGGGUAACCUGCCUGUAAGACUGGGAUAACUCCGGGAAACCGGGGCUAAUACCGGAUGGUUGUUUGAACCGCAUGGUUCAAACAUAAAAGGUGGCUUCGGCUACCACUUACAGAUGGACCCGCGGCGCAUUAGCUAGUUGGUGAGGUAACGGCUCACCAAGGCAACGAUGCGUAGCCGACCUGAGAGGGUGAUCGGCCACACUGGGACUGAGACACGGCCCAGACUCCUACGGGAGGCAGCAGUAGGGAAUCUUCCGCAAUGGACGAAAGUCUGACGGAGCAACGCCGCGUGAGUGAUGAAGGUUUUCGGAUCGUAAAGCUCUGUUGUUAGGGAAGAACAAGUACCGUUCGAAUAGGGCGGUACCUUGACGGUACCUAACCAGAAAGCCACGGCUAACUACGUGCCAGCAGCCGCGGUAAUACGUAGGUGGCAAGCGUUGUCCGGAAUUAUUGGGCGUAAAGGGCUCGCAGGCGGUUUCUUAAGUCUGAUGUGAAAGCCCCCGGCUCAACCGGGGAGGGUCAUUGGAAACUGGGGAACUUGAGUGCAGAAGAGGAGAGUGGAAUUCCACGUGUAGCGGUGAAAUGCGUAGAGAUGUGGAGGAACACCAGUGGCGAAGCGACUCUCUGGUCUGUAACUGACGCUGAGGAGCGAAAGCGUGGGGAGCGAACAGGAUUAGAUACCCUGGUAGUCCACGCCGUAAACGAUGAGUGCUAAGUGUUAGGGGUUUCCGCCCCUUAGUGCUGCAGCUAACGCAUUAAGCACUCCGCCUGGGGGAGUACGGUCGCAAGACUGAAACUCAAAGGAUUUGACGGGGCCCGCACAAGCGGUGGACAUGUGGUUUAAUUCGAAGCAACGCGAAGAACUUACCAGGUCUUGAUCU
rnacentral:rRNA from 1 species